UGGCCUCCAACAAAUCAAAUCGAAGGAAAGAAACUGCCGGCUUUCAAAAUCCUCCUCCUCCGCCAUCAUCUGCCGCCGUGCGGGGAGCAGGUGGUGUUGGAGGCUCGAGCGGCGAGAACCGCUCGGAGAGCUGACGGACAAGUGGGCUGGGCAUCGUGGCCGCUGGACUGGAGGCGGCGACCCCCACCUGACCUGACCCGGACCCUAAAUCAGUCCCCGCCCCGCCGGACCGACGUACGCGCUCCGGUCGACCCACGCGGCGGCGCCGCCUGUUUACGGUUGCAGAUUUCCAGGGGAGCCCACCAGCGUGGCCAGCAUGGCCUCUGAAGACAUUGCCAAGCUGGCAGAGACGCUAGCCAAAACCCAGGUGGCCGGGGGACAGCUGAGUUUCAAGGGCAAGAGCCUCAAACUCAACACUGCAGAAGAUGCCAAAGACGUGAUCAAGGAGAUUGAAGAUUUCCACGGCUUAGAGGCCUUGCGCCUGGAGGGCAACACGGUGGGCGUGGAAGCAGCCAGGGUCAUCGCCAAGGCCUUGGAGAAGAAGUCGGAGUUGAAGCGAUGCCACUGGAGCGACAUGUUCACGGGAAGGCUGCGGUCUGAGAUCCCACCUGCCCUGAUCUCACUCGGGGAGGGACUCAUCACAGCCGGGGCCCAGCUGGUGGAGCUGGACCUGAGUGACAACGCGUUCGGGCCCGACGGCGUGCGAGGCUUCGAGGCCCUGCUCAAGAGCUCCACCUGCUUCACCCUGCACGAACUCAAGCUCAACAACUGUGGCAUGGGUGUCGGUGGCGGCAAGAUCCUGGCAGCAGCUCUGACUGAGUGUCAUCGGAAGUCCAGUGCCCAAGGCAAGCCGCUGGCCCUGAAGGUCUUCAUGGCUGGCAGAAACCGUCUGGAGAACGACGGAGCCACUGCCUUAGCAGAGGCUUUUGGGAUCAUCGGGACUCUGGAGGAGGUCCACAUGCCGCAGAACGGGAUCAAUCACCCCGGUGUCACUGCCCUGGCCCAGGCGUUCGCCAUCAACCCCCUGCUGCGCGUCAUCAACCUGAACGACAACACCUUCACCGAGAAGGGUGCCGUGGCCAUGGCCAAGACGCUGAAGGCCUUGCGGCAGGUGGAGGUGAUCAACUUCGGGGACUGCCUGGUGCGCUCCAAGGGCGCCGUCGCCAUCGCAGACGCCGUCCACGGGGGCCUGCCGAAGCUGAAGGAGCUGAACUUGUCAUUCGGUGAAAUCAAGAGGGAUGCUGCUCUGUCUGUUGCUGAGGCCGUGGCUGACAAGGUGGAGCUGGAGAAACUGGACCUCAAUGGCAACAACCUGGGAGAAGAAGGCUGUGAGCAGCUCCAGGAAGUGCUGGAUGGCUUCAACAUGGCCAAGGUGCUGGCGUCCCUCAGUGACGAUGAGGGUGAGGAUGACGAGGACGAGGAUGAGGACGAGGAGGAGGAGGAGGAGGAGGAGGAGGAGCCACAGCCGGGAGAGCAAAGGGAGCGGCCGACCGCACCGCCCAGGAAGAUGCUGGAUCCUGACGGUGGGGAACCAGCUCCUGUCCUGUCCUCCCCGCCUCCUGCAGACGUCUCCACCUUCCUGGCCUUCCCCUCCCCGGAGAAGCUGCUGCGCCUCGGGCCCAAGAGUUCCGUGCUGAUAGCCCAACAGACUGACACAUCUGAUCCGGAGAAGGUGGUCUCUGCCUUCCUGAAGGUGUCCUCCGUGUUCAAGGACGAAGCCACAGUGAGGUCGGCCGUGCAGGAUGCAGUAGAUACCUUGAUGAAGAAGGCCUUCAGCUCAUCCUCCUUCAACUCCAAUGCCUUCCUUACCAGGCUCCUCAUCCACAUGGGGCUGCUCAAGAGUGAAGACAAGAUCAAGGCCAUUGCCAACCUGUACGGCCCCCUGAUGGCAUUGAAUCACAUGGUGCAGCAGGAGUACUUCCCCAAGGCCCUUGCCCCUCUGCUGCUGGCAUUCGUGACCAAGAGAUGUUGCCUCAACCCGUGGGCCUUCGCUCGGACUGUCUGGGGUGUCCCCACGUGGUGGCCCUAGCCCCCGCCUGCCAACCCCUGACGAAGCCCGGCUCCCUCUGUCUCCUUCCAACCCCUGGUUGGGACUGUUCGCUCUGCAUUCCCAUCAUCCCCUGUGUGGCCCUUGGGCUGGGCAUGGACACCCUCGCCCUUGAUGGCCCAAUGGCGCCCUGGAAUCCUGCUCCUUUGCCCGCCACAAUCUACUGCAGACGCUCUACAAGGUCUAGACGCAAUCUGGUCUCUCCCCAUCCCUCGGCCUGGACCGGUGCCCUGGGAAGGGACUCAGAGGAAGGACUCUGGCCAGCAGCAGGGAGGGUCUUUGUCGCGUGUGUCGUGUCUCCUGAGUACGUGUGUUGGUGCGGCGUAUGUGCAGGUGUGUGCUUCGUGUCGGGGUUCGCAUUUUUAACGUCUCCCUGCUGGCCUGGCCCUGGUCCCGCUGGAGGGGAGCUGGCCCCCAGGCGGAAGGGCUGCAGGCUGCUCUGCCAUUAAACUCACCGCCAUCUGA